rnacentral:lncRNA from 1 species
GGUUUUGUGAGUGGUCAGGCAGGGAACACUGCACGAGAGGACUCCAUGUUUUUCUUUCUCUCUUUGAACGAAUACAACGUCACCCGGUUGGAAUAUUAUCGCUAUUUUACGAGAAAAAAUCACAUAAAAAUGUAUUUUAAACAGCGUUUCACAUGCUUCGAAAUACGGUAAUGGAAUAUUUAAAAAAAUGUUGUCACGAAAUGCGCCCGCGCGUCACCCUUCAGAUUCUGACCUCAACGCACGAAGAAAACGGAGCUAUUUCAAUAUAACUAUGGAUUAUUUCGAACCAAAACAACAUUUGUUGUUGAAGUAGAAGUCCUGGGAGUGCAUUCUGACGAAGAACAGCAAAGGCUCUUCACUUCUUCUUUGGGAAAUGUUCCUCCUCAGAGACAGAGGAAGAUAAUGAAGACGAGUCCCCUGGUUGAUUCCCCCUCGCUGCUGGAGUCCCCGCCUGAUUCCUGCAUGUAGCCUACUGCUGGUCAGACCCUACACACAGAGACCUGAGCCCUAGGACCAUGCCUCAGGACUACCUGGCAUGAUGACUCCUUGCUGUCCCCAGUCCACCUGGCCGUGCUGCUGCUCCAGUUUCAACUGUUCUGCCUGCGGCUAUGGAACCCUGACCUGUUCACCGGACGUGCUACCUGUCCCAGACCUGCUGUUUUCAACUCUCUAGAGACAGCAGGAGCGGUAGAGAUACUCUCAAUGAUCUGCUAUGAAAAGCCAACUGACAUUUACUCUUGAGGUGCUGACUUGUUGCACCCUCGACAACUACUGUGAUUAUUAUUAUUUGACCAUGCUGGUCAUUUAUGAACAUUUGAACAUCUUGGCCAUGUUCUGUUAUAAUCUCCACCCGGCACAGCCAAAAGAGGACUGGCCACCCCUCAUAGCAUGGUUCCUCUCUAGGUUUCUUCCUAGGUUUUGGCCUUUCUAGGGAGAUUUUCCUAGCCACCGUGCUUCUACACCUGUAUUGCUUGCUGUUUGGGGUUUUAGGCUGGGUUUCUGUACAGCACUUUGAGAUAUUAGCUGGUGUAAGAAGGGCUAUAUAAAUAAAUUUGAUUUGACAUCAGAGAUUUAACAUUCUCUGUUUCACGGAAACUUGGCUCACUCGGGAUACGUUAUCAGAGUCGGUACAGUCACCCGGUUUCUUCACGCAUCGUGCCGACAGAAACAAACAUCUCUCUGGUAAGAAAAAGGGCUGGGAUGUAUGCCUUACGAUUAACGAGUCGUGGUGUGAUCAUAACAACAUUCACGAACACAAGUCCUUUUUUUCACCUGACCUAGAAUUCCUUAUAAUCAAAUGCUGACCGCAUUAUCUACCAAGAGAAUACCCUUCGAUUAUAAUCACAGCCGUGUAUAUCCCCCCCCCCCCAAGUAGACACCUCGACGGCCCUGACGGAACAUCACUGGACUCUGUGUAAACUGGAAACCACAUAUGCUGAGGCUGCAUUUAUUGUAGAUGGGGAUUUUAACAAAGCUAAUCUGAAAACAAGGCUCCCUAAAUUUUAUCAGCAUAUCGAAUGCGCGACCCGGGCUGGCAGCAUUGUGGAUCAUUGCUACUCUAACUUCCGCGACGCAUACAAAGCCCUCCCUCGCCUUCCUUUCAGCAAAUCUGACGACGACUCCAUUUUGUUGCUCCCAGCCUAUAGACAGAAACUAAAACAGGAAACACCCGUGCUCAGGUCUGUUCAACGCUGGUCCGACCAAUCUUAUUCCACGCUUCAAGAUUGCUUCGAUCACGUGGACUGGGAUAUGUUCCGGAUAGCCUGAGACAACAACAUUGAUGUAUCCGCUGAUUCGGUGAGUGAGUUUAUUAGCAAGUGCAUCAGUAAUGUUGUACCCACGGUGACUAUUAAAACCUUCCCCAACCAGAAACCAUUGAUUGAUGGUAGCAUUCGCGCAAAACUGAAAGCGUGAACCAUUGCUUUUAAUCAUGGCAAGCAGCCCAGAAACAUGACCAAAUACAAACAGUGUAGCUAUUCCCUCCGCAAGGCAAUCAAACAAGCUAAGCGUCAGUAUAGAGACAAGGUACAGCCGCAUGUCAACGGCUGAGACACGAGACGUAUGUGGCAGGGUAUACAGUCAAUCACGGAUUACAAAAAUAAAACCAGCGUCGCGGACACCGACAUAUUGCUCCCAGACAAACUAAACAACUUCUUUGCUCACUUUGAGGACAAUACAUUGCCAUUGACACAGCCCGCUACCAAAACCUGCAGGCUCUCCUUCACCGCAGCCAACGUGAGUAAAACAUUUAAACGUGUUAACCCUCGCAAGGCUGCCUACCCAGACAGCAUCCCUAGCCGCGUCCUCAGAGCAUGCGCAGACCAGCUAGCUAGUGUGUUUACGGACAUAUUCAAUCAAUCCCUAUCCCUGUCUGCUGUUCCCACAAGCUUCAAGAGGGCCACCAUUAUUACUGUUCCCAAGAAAGCUGAAAUAACUGAGCUAAACGACUAUUGCCCCGUAGCACUCACUUCCGUCAUCAUGAAGUGCUUCGAGAGACUAGUCAAGGAUCAUAUCACCUCCACCAUACCUGACACCCUAGACCCACUCCAACUUGCUUACCGUCCCAAUAGGUCCACAGACGACACAAUCGCAAUCACACUGCACACUGCCCUAACCCAUCUGGACAAGAGGAAUACCUAUGUAAGAACGCUGUUCAUCAAUUACAGCUCAGCAUUUAACACCAUAGUCCACCAUAGUACCCUCCAAACGCAACAGCGCCUCUUCAACCUCAGGAGGCUGAGGAAAUUUGGCUUGUCACCGAAAACACUCACAAAUUUUACAGAUGCACAAUCAAGAGCAUCCUGUCGGGCUGUAUCACCGCCUGGUACGGCAACUGCUCUGCCCACAACCGUAAGGCUCUCCAGAGGGUAGUGUGGUCUGCACAACGCAUCACCGGGGGAGAAACUACCUGUUCUCUAGGAAGACCUACACCACCCGAUGUCACAGGAAGGCCAAAAAGAUCAUCAAGGACAACAACCACCCAAACCACUGUCUGUUCACCCCGCUGUCAUCCAGAAGGCGAGCUCAGUUUGGGACCCUUAAUCCAGGCUGGACAGGAGGAAGUCAACCUGCAUUUCUAGAUUCACCAUCACCUGCCACGAGAGCCUCUGUGGGCUUUCAUAGAUGGACUCAUCGAGGUUGAAGAUGGAGUCCAACCACGCCUUCAUCUGAUCCUGACGACAACAGACACAUCAACUAUUAUUUAAUGACCAACUACAAAGAUAAGGAUGAACAAACCAUCACACACAGUUCAGGAUAGAGAGAGAGAGAGAGAGAGAGAGAGAGAGAGAGAGAGAGAGAGAGAGAGAGGGGGAGAGAGAAAUGCACCUUAAGGAGGAGGUAGAAGUUCCCAGCAGACUCUGUCCAGGCUCCUCCAGGAGGGUGAAUCGUCAUUAUCACUUCAAUGAGCAGAUAAAAGAAGGUACCAGGCCUCUGGAGAAGGAACAGGGGACAUAAGUGGGUGUCUACAGACCUGGUAUGGCUACAGUGUGGAUAGGGUAGAUAAACAACAGGAUGUUUACAUUAUUAGGGCCACUUACAGAUGUUGGAAGAGAUGUUUUUCCUUCUAGAAGGCUUAGUAGAACGAAUUCAUAAAAUACAUCCGUGAAGUUGAUGUGGUUGAUCUGAAGUCGAACAAAUAAGAUAAUUACAUCAUUUUCAUUGACAAGCACUUUAGAAAGUCUCAUUGAGUAGAUGUUGGAUGAGCAGACGGUGCCUGCAGCUAACGCUCAAGCUUGUAUGUAAACCUACUCCUACAAGAGCCAUCUCCAGCUCUAGUCGCUCCCUGUUUGCUGGCUCAUUAAUGAAGUUCACCAGGAUGUCAUAGGCCUGCUGAAACUGCCUCACAUCCUCAAAACAAAACAACCAUAAAAUUCCUUAGAACGUGGAUCAUAAACUCAAAGAUUCAGGUCUGUAAUUCUGACUGUUUGGCUUGUAAGACAUUGGAACUUUUCAACUAAACCUUACGAAUCACUAUUGCCUAAAUGUAA